GGUCUGAUGGUGUAGUGGUAACACAUCCCUUUCAAUUAACUCCUCCAUGUGUGUAACUUUGUGGGAAGUCCCUUGUUCGAAUCAAGGUCAGGCCG